rnacentral:rRNA from 1 species
AUGGUAUUGUCAAAAAAAAAACGUCUUAAGACAGAGGGAGUAGCAUAUAUCAAGGCAGACAAUGUUAAUUGCGUUUAUCUCUCUGCCUCAAGAACGAUGACUUUCCUUAGCAGCCUCCUCCGCCCCCGCCGUCGCCUCCCCCGCCACCACCACCGUCGCCUCCGCCCCCACCGUCCCCAUAUCCGUCGCCGUCAUCCCCUCCGCCGCCGCCAUCGUCUCCGCCUCCGCGACGACGUUUGCGCUUCUUAUCCGCGGGACGCUUCUUGUGGCCGGCGCAGCCAAACACGGCGAUGGCCACGAUUGCAACCGCAGCCACAAAGCCGAAAGCUAGACCCACAACGUUGCUGGGCGCGUAGUGCACCGAGCCAGCAGCGAGACCCAACGCCCGCACCAUCGUAG